GCGGUGUCUGCCGGUGGCACGCGGCACUUCCCGCCCCGAUGCUGGUGACCGGUCUGUCCCGUUGAUGUGCCUGGGACUAAGCUCACGGGGAUCGGGCCCUUUCAGACCCCCCCCCGUCUCCAGCUGAGUGGGGCGAAUCGCCGCGGGAGUGGUUGUGCGCUGGGGGUGGCUCUGGCUUUCUUGGGUCGGCAGACCAAGGAUGAACUGGGCCUGCAAUGAGUCAGAGAAGUAAAGAAGGCCAACUAUAAGAAGAGAGCUGACACUCCUGUCCAGAAUUUGCAAGACAUCACUCUGUGUCAUUCUUUCAGCAUGGAAUACAGUAUUGUGAUGCACUUCAGAAAAUAUACUGACACUGCUGCAUUGUGUGGAACAUCUGCCCUUUUCUUUCUAAUAUAGAUCUCACAAUGGUCAUUCCAACCUAAAACUGAAAAAGGCACAAUUAUUGUAAACUUAUUCCUGCACUGACUGGGAUCACUUUGAAAUUGAUCCAGGGACUGUUGUGUGUAGAAUAUGGCUAUCUAGGUGCUCUUUCGUAUGUAGGGUGAAGGGAAACAAUAACACCCAUUCUCCAUGGGCUGUCCUGGUUGCAGAAAAAAUUGUGGAUUCAAUUCAACAUCUCAUUGAAGUAAUCCUUUAUCUGGGCCCAACGUGUAUGACUGUGCCUAUUCCUAUUGCCCUCCAAGCCUGCUGUUAUUAACUUUAAGGCCCUUCACAAAUGUGCCCCUCCUUGUCUGCUCUUAUAUCUUGUGUCCUUUCCCUGCUUCACCAGUGAUGACAGAUUUGACCCCUUGCUUGUCUCCAUCUCAAACAAAUGAUUUUAUACUUUCACUCUAUCCCUUAUGUAUGCAACACUCUCACAAAACUAGUCUGUAAAGCCCCAGCCCUCUCCCCAUUUAAAUCCCUCCCCAAGACUUACUUCUACCAUGAUGGCUACAGAAAAUUGCCAGAUGAUAAUGACUAGAUAGAUGCCAGUGGGGAUUGGUGAUAUUUAUUUCUAAAACAUUUUAAAAUGCAUGUAUAUGUUUUGGAACAUCAAGUUAAGCACAUAAUAGGAACCUGUGUUUUCCACAGGCUAGCUAAUAUGCUCAUCCUCCCUCCGACUCUGUUUCUUACAUGUCUUGUCAAAUGAAAUUGUAAGCUCUCCAGGGAAUGGGCUGUACACGCAUUUGCACACUGAGCCUAAUGGUUGGAAUAUUCACCAAGGAUGUGGGACACCCAGUUCCCAUGUUCCAGUGAUGAUGUAAUUAUUUAUUUACAGUGCAUCAAUUUUAACAGGAGAGACUGAGGGAGCACUGCAUCAGAAUAGCUCAAUGAUUAGAGUACACACCUGAGAGGUUGCAGAUCCCUUUUCAAAUCCUUUCUCCUGCUCAGGCACAGGGGGGACUUGAAUGCGGGGUCUCCCACAUCUCAGGUGAGUAUCCUAACCACUGGGCUAAAAGUCCUCCACACAUCCAGUUGGCAUCUUCCACUGGCUAGCUUAGACAGAUCCCUGCCUAGCAUGAUUCUGUGAAUCAUUCCAAGGUGCUGGUCUUUCCCCAUGCAUUUUAUAGGGAGCCUAAGCGCUUAACUUACAGUUUGUGAAUUCCGGUGAUUUUCUAGGCACCUAAAAUUUAGGUGCUGUGACAAUCAGCGUUGCAAUGCCUAACUGCUUUUGUGCAUCCUGGCCUCUGUGACUGUCUUCAAGACUUGUUGGGAUCUGUUCGCCUUUGAGGGCUUGGCCUCCAUUUUGCAUUUAUUUUUUGGCUUGGCUUUUGUUUUUGAUAACAGAUUGGCUUGUUCUUUCUGGGCCACUGGAGGCAGUUCUCUGUUUUGUCAUCAUUACCCUAUCCUGUGUAAGAGGGUCAGUGAUAUGAUAAGCACCAUACAAAUAAAAGCAAAUCUCUGAUUUUUAUGAUAGACAAAUUGCACUAGUUAAUGGUGUUAAAUGAGGACACUGCAAUUACAUGCAGAGGAUAUAUAAUAUUCCCUGCUAUAGAUGAUUUACCCUUUUAUUAGUUCAAAACCCUAAUGAGGCCUACAGAAUAAAAAAACCCCAAGCAGUAUGUUGCUGUCAGACACAGCAGAAGGACUGAAAAGAAUACCUGGUAGCAAGGACUUGGUUUGUAUAAGACACUUUAAUGUUGAACAUAAACUUCUAAAUGUCCCAGUGGAGUCCGGGAUUCUCAUUUAAACAAGCCAGAUGAUUUUAGAAUAAUAUAGCAGAACUUUGUGUUGUGUAAUAUACAACAUUAGCAGCAUGUGGAAAUAUAAAUUCAUACACCAAGAUUAAAAUCAAUUUGCACGUACACAGUUUUCAUUUCUAAUCAAAGUUACAGUAGAUUUUUAUAAUCAGCCUAGCACUUAUGACAAACUUCAAUGUAUCAUAUUGUCAUUUGAUUAAUAUGAGCAUAUCCUGUCUUCAGUAAAAAUAUAUAUGUCCUUCCAAGUAUAAUAUAUAAUAUCAUUCCAAGUAGACUGGUGGUCUAAGUAGCGUUAUAUUCUACCAGACAGUGACAAGUCAACUUCAGAAAUUGUUCUUGCACUCUUGACCUGGAAUAGCAGGGACUGGACAUUCAAUCCCUGUGGAGGCAGAGACAAACGCUUGUCACUUUAUAGUGACUCAUCUGGAUGUUUAGGCAGCAAUACUGAUUAGAUCCAAAGCCUGGUAUCCAGAUCUCUUUUAUCAGCUAGAGAGUCAUUAUGACAUGAGUUUGUAGGGAAGGUGGAAAAGGAAAAAAAAAAGUGUUUUUUGUUUUUAUUCUGUUUUUAUUGUAAAUUAUUAGGAUAGAUAGCUGGUGUACCACCAGUGAAAACAUUUGUGUGAGAUACUCAUACUUCAAAUGAAGUUACUGUAGUGUAGUUAAUGCUUUGCGGCUGAUGUAAAGUCUAACUGCAUUGUUUGUCAUAGCUGUGUGCUGUGUGCAUAACAAGCUAUUUGAAAAUUCCCUGCUAAUACAGUUGUAUAAGUCAACUCAUCUCUAAUUUUAAUAAGGCAGUAAACCUGGAUUACUUAAUGUUUUCACAGAAGAAUAGCAUUAAAAUGUACAUGAUUCACACUGCAUUAAAUGUAUUUUAUGAAAAUGAAAAA